rnacentral:rRNA from 1 species
CACGUAGGCACCAAGCGUUGUCCGGAUUUAUUGGGCGUAAAGAGCUCGUAGGCGGUUCAGUAAGUCGGGUGUGAAAACUCAGGGCUCAACCCUGAGAUGCCACUUGAUACUGCUGUGACUUGAGUUCGGUAGGGGAGCGGGGAACUCCUGGUGUAGCGGUGAAAUGCGCAGAUAUCAGGAAGAACACCAGUGGCGAAGGCGCCGCUCUGGGCCGAGACUGACGCUGAGGAGCGAAAGCGUGGGUAGCAAACAGG